rnacentral:rRNA from 1 species
AGACCAACAGGGAUUGCCCUAGUAACGGCGAGUGAAGCGGCAACAGCUCAAAUUUGAAAUCUGGCUCUUUCAGAGUCCGAGUUGUAAUUUGCAGAGGGCGCUUUGGUGUUGGCAGCGGUCCAAGUUCCUUGGAACAGGACGUCACAGAGGGUGAGAAUCCCGUACGUGGUCGCUAGCCUUCGCCGUGUAAAGCCCCUUCGACGAGUCGAGUUGUUUGGGAAUGCAGCUCUAAAUGGGAGGUAAAUUUCUUCUAAAGCUAAAUACUGGCCAGAGACCGAUAGCGCACAAGUAGAGUGAUCGAAAGAUGAAAAGCACUUUGGAAAGAGAGUCAAAUAGCACGUGAAAUUGUUGAAAGGGAAGCGCUUGCAGCCAGACUUGCCUGUAGUUGCUUAUCCGGACUUUUGUCCGGUGCACUCUUCUGCGGGCAGGCCAGCAUCAGUUUGGGCGGUUGGAUAAAGGUCUCUGUCAUGUACCUCUCUUCGGGGAGAACUUAUAGGGGAGACGACAUGCAACCAGCCUGGACUGAGGUCCGCGCAUCUGCUAGGAUGCUGGCGUAAUGGCUGUAAGCGGCCCGUCUUGAAACACGGACCAAGGAGUCUAACAUCUAUGCGAGUGUUGGGGGGUGGAAA